rnacentral:rRNA from 1 species
GAUGAACGCUAGCGACAGGCUUAACACAUGCAAGUCGAGGGGCAGCGGGGGUAGCAAUACCCGCCGGCGACCGGCGCACGGGUGAGUAACGCGUAUGCAACUUGCCUAUCAGAGGGGGAUAACCCGGCGAAAGUCGGACUAAUACCGCAUGAAGCAGGGGCCCCGCAUGGGGAUAUUUGCUAAAGAUUCAUCGCUGAUAGAUAGGCAUGCGUUCCAUUAGGCAGUUGGCGGGGUAACGGCCCACCAAGGCGACGAUCAGUAGCCGGACUGAGAGGUUGGCCGGCCACAUUGGGACUGAGACACGGCCCAA